rnacentral:lncRNA from 1 species
UCCCAAAGGGAUCAGGGGGCUCAAACCACCCCAUCCCCACUGUGUCCCGGUGACCCGGGGGAGCCGGACACUGCCACACCUGGAUUAUGGUGACAGGAAAGGGUUUGACAGAACAAUUGUGACAAUUUCCCAGCUGAGUUUCCCAGGCAGGAUCUAAUUCCUGCCCCCAGCAGCUCUGUGGGAGUUGGGGAUCCAGCUCCCAGGCAGAGGGAACAUUUCCAAUCAGCGCAACUCAAUCCCAGCCUGGCCCCAGCCUCAAGCAGGAUAAAGCCACAUCCUGCCCACUCCUUUUUCUUUUCCACCCCUCUGGACCAUGGGAAAUCCCUUCCCAGCACUGAAGGAGGUGGGUGGGAGGAAAGGAAAACAAAACUUUGGAGCAGUUUGGGAGCCUCCCCCGCCCUCCAUCCAUCACCCACAGCAGGGCAGGGACAGGAACGCAGCUCCUGCUCCCAGGGUUUGUGCCCUUGGCUUUUGCACCUCUGGGAAAAGGGGAAAAAUAGAGGUGGGGUUGAAAUGCAGCCUGAAGGGAAAGAAAAAUGAGGUGGCGUAAUAAUAAUAAUAAUAAUAAUAAUAAUAAUAAUAAUAAUAAUAGUAAAGGAGAGCAAGAUCUGGAGCUCAGCACAGCACUGAAAUGGAAUGUGGUGAUUGCUGGGAUCAGGGAUUGAUCCCUGGGAUGUGGUGAUGGUUGGGAUCAGGGAUUCAGGGCAUGGGAUUCAGGGACCAUGGGAUGUGGUGAUGAUUGGGAUCAGGGAUUCAUCCCCUGGAUGUGGUGAUGACUGUGAUUGGGGAUUCAUCUCUGGGAUGUGCCCUGUGGGGACCAGGGAUUGAUCCCCUGGGAUGUGGUGAUGGUUGGGAUCAGGGAUUCAGGGCAUGGGAUUCAGGGAUCAUGGGAUGCGGUGACCUGUGGGGAUCAGGGAUUGAUCUCUGGGAUAUGGUGAUGGUUGGGAUCAGGGAUCAUCUCUGGGAUGUGAUGGUUGGGAUCAGGGAUCAUCUCUGGGAUGUGAUGGUUGGGAUCAGGGAUGCAUCCCCGGGAUCCAGGAUCUGGGAUCUGAGCCUGGAGGCUGUGGAAGGAGCAGGACAGUGCUGGAGAGCUGCAGCACCACAGGAACACAGCAGACCCAGAGCAAUCCCAUCCCACGGGCUCCGUCCCACGGAUGUGGGGAGGAUCAGAGGCAGGAGGGGCUGCUGCAGGCUCCUUUCCCUGGAGCACAGCUCACCAGAACGCUUUCCAGGUGGAAAAUCCUGCGCCACGCAGGGGCAGGCUGACAGCCAGGCCCUCUGGGAAGUUCUGGAUGCCAAUCCCAAUGGCUAAAUUCCUAAAAAAAAAAGCACAAAUAGAUCAAUUUAUUUAUUGUUAGGGACAAAGCUCAGCCUGGGAUAAGCUGCUGGGAAAAAGGGACAUGAUUAAAGAUUCAGUGGAAAUGCUCCCAGCCCCAGUGCCCAGAUUUAACAGGAUCCCAGCAAAUUCCAUCCCCCAGAGCUUGUCCUGGGAGGCUCUGGAGGGAUUCCAGCCCAAGGAUUCCCGGGAGCUGCAACAUUCCCUCUUUUUCUGCUUUCCCUCUCUUUCUGCUUUCCUUUUUUUUUUGCUUUCCCUCUUUUUUGCUCUCCCUCUUUUCCCCCUCUCACAUCCCAUGGAAAGGGAACACUUUGGAACUUCCAGCAUCAAACUCAGCAGAGGGGAGAGCAGGGCUGUGCACCAGUCGUGGAAUCCCAGACUCCUGGAACGCUUUGGGUGGGAAGGGAUUUAAAAUCCCAUCCCAUCCCACCCCCUGGCACGGCAGGGACACCUCCAGCUAUGCCAGGCUGCUCCAGCCCGGCCUUGGGCACUGCCAGGGAUAUGCAGGGGCACAGCCCCAGCUGCUCUGGGAAUUCCAUCCCAGGGCAUCCCCACCCUGCCAGGGAAGGAUUUUGUACUCACAGGGAAGAAUUGGGUUUUUGCUGGGGCUGUGCAUGGCUGGCACAUCCAUCUCCCUCCCUUCCGCCUCUGCAGGGGUUUGGGAUUUUGGGGGAACAUUUCAGGCACCAAAAAGGGUUCGUGUUUGUGCCAUGGGCUCCCCACACAUCCCUGUCCCACCCUGUGAGCAUUUCUCCAAUUUCUCCACCUUUCUGGGCUCUGUUGGUGGCACUGGGGGACACCAAGAGUGGGAGCACCCUGGGGGGCUCCAGCAGGGGGGGUUUGGGCUCUGAGUGACCCCCGGAGCCUCUCCCAGCUCAGUCCUGCUCUGCCAACAGCUGCAGCUCCCUC